rnacentral:rRNA from 1 species
UAUCUCUGUAGAGUCUGCAUAUCAAUAAGCGGAGGAAAAGAAACUAACUAAGGAUUCCCUCAGUAACGGCGAGUGAAGCGGGAAGAGCUCAAAUUUGAAAUCUUCAAGGGUUCUACCUUUACGAAUUGUAGUUUAAAGAAGUGUUUUCUGUUGAAGUUUUGGUAAAAGUUCUUUGGAAUAGGACAUCAUAGAGGGUGAGAAUCCCGUAUUUGACCAUUAUUUUCAGCUGUGUGAUACACUUUCAAAGAGUCGGAUUGUUUGGGAAUGCAGUCCAAAAUGGGUGGUAAAUUUCAUCUAAAGCUAAAUAUUGGCGAGAGACCGAUAGCGAACAAGUACCGUGAGGGAAAGAUGAAAAGAACUUUGAAAAGAGAGUUAAACAGUACGUGAAAUUGUCAAAAGGGAAGCGUUUGACACCAGUGUUGUUUUCUCGAAAAUCAAUUAAAAAGAGUUGGAUUUUGUGUUGUAUUGACCUUAACAGCUUUCUUCACUCUUUUCCUGCUUUUUUUAAUGCACUUUUCGUUUAACAAGUCAACAUCAGUUUCUUUUGUUGUAAAAGGGUCAUUGGAAGGUGGCUUUCUUUUCGGAGAAAGUGUUUAUAGCCUUUGAUCUCUGCAAUCGGAGAGACUGAGGUCUGCAGCGUAGAUCCUUCGGGGUUAGAUACAUUUGUGCUAAGUUAUAACUUUUCAUAGACAACUUGUUGACUAUGUUUAGUCAUGUAGCUUACUCGCUUGUGCUAUUUUACCUACGCUUAGGAUGUUGAAGAUGUAGCACAUCAU